UACGUAGGGGGCUAGCGUUGUCCGGAAUCAUUGGGCGUAAAGAGCGUGUAGGCGGUCCGGUAAGUCCGCUGUGAAAGUCGGGGGCUCAACCCUCGAAUGCCGGUGGAUACUGUCGGGCUAGAGUACGGAAGAGGCGAGUGGAAUUCCUGGUGUAGCGGUGAAAUGCGCAGAUAUCGGGAGGAACACCAGUGGCGAAGGCGAGUCUCUGGGAUGAUGCUGACGCUGAGGCGCGAAAGCCAGGGGAGCAAACGGG
rnacentral:rRNA from 1 species